rnacentral:rRNA from 1 species
UACGAAGGGGGCUAGCGUUGUUCGGAUUUACUGGGCGUAAAGCGCACGUAGGCGGUUUGUUAAGUCAGAGGUGAAAUCCCGGAGCUCAACUCCGGAACUGCCUUUGAUACUGGCAAGCUAGAGUCCGGAAGAGGUAAGUGGAACUCCUAGUGUAGAGGUGGAAUUCGUAGAUAUUAGGAAGAACACCAGUGGCGAAGGCGGCUUAGUGGUCCGGAACUGACGCUGAGGUGCGAAAGCGUGGGGAGCAAACAGG